AAAUUGAAGAGUUUGUUCAUGGCUCGUAUUGAACGCUGGCGGCAUGCCUAACCAAUGCAAGUCGAUCGGUAACUGGUAGCAGCUUGCUGCUUCGCUGAAGAGUGGCGGACGGGUGAGUAAUGUCUGGGAAAAUUCCUGAUGGAGGUGGAUAACUACUGGAAACGUUAGC
rnacentral:rRNA from 1 species